GAUCCUGGCUCAGGAUGAACGCUAGAUACAGGCUUAACACAUGCAAGUCGAGGGGCAGCAUUUCAGUUUGCUUGCAAACUGGAGAUGGCGACCGGCGCACGGGUGAGUAACACGUAUCCAACCUGCCGAUAACUCGGGGAUAGCCUUUCGAAAGAAAGAUUAAUACCCGAUGGUAUAAUUAGACCGCAUGGUCUUAUUAUUAAAGAAUUUCGGUUAUACGAUGGGGAUGCGUUCCAUUAGGCAGUUGG
rnacentral:rRNA from 1 species